rnacentral:rRNA from 1 species
CGCAGCCGCGGUAAUUCCAGCUCCAAUAGCGUAUAUUAAAGUUGUUGCAGUUAAAAAGCUCGUAGUUGAACUUCAGGCCUGUCCAGACGGUCCGCCUUAAUUGGUGUGUACUGUCCUUGGGUGGGUCCUACCUUCUGGCGAAGCGGCAUGGCCUUAAUUGGUUGUGUCGGGGAACCAGGACUUUUACUGUGAAAAAAUUAGAGUGUUCAAAGCAGGCAAAUAUGCUCGAAUACAUUAGCAUGGAAUAAUGGAAUAGGACGAUGGUUCUAUUUUGUUGGUUCUAGGACCGUUGUAAUGAUUAAUAGGGAUAGUUGGGGGCAUUAGUAUUCAAUUGUCAGAGGUGAAAUUCUUGGAUUUAUUGAAAGACUAACUACUGCGAAAGCAUUUGCCAAGGAUGUUUUCAUUAAUCAAGAACGAAAGUUAGGGGAUCGAAGACGACCAGAUACCGUCGUAGUCUUAACCAUAAACUAUGCCGACUAGGAAUCGGGCGAUGUUGACAAAAUGACUCGCUCGGCACCUCA